rnacentral:rRNA from 1 species
GACGAACGCUGGCGACGCGCUUAACACAUGCAAGUCGAACGGAAAGGCCUGCUUUCCCUUGUGGAUUGCGGGUACUCGAGUGGCGAACGGGUGAGUAACACGUGAGUGAUCUGCCCCCAACUUGGGUAUAAGCCUGGGAAACUGGGUCUAAUUCCCGAUAGGCCUGCAGGGUGGUGCCUGUGGUGGAAAACGAUUUUCUAGUGGUUGGGGAUGAGCUCGCGGCCUAUCAGCUUGUUGGUGGGGUAAUGGCCUACCAAGGCGGCGACGGGUAGCCGGCCUGAGAGGGUGGACGGCCACAUUGGGACUGAGAGACGGCCCAGACUCCUACGGGAGGCAGCAGUGGGGAAUAUUGCACAAUGGGCGGAAGCCUGAUGCAGCGACGCCGCGUGGGGGAUGACGGCCUUCGGGUUGUAAACUCCUUUCGACCGCGAGGAAGCCACCUGGUUGGAAGGGUGGUGACGGUAGUGGUAGAAGAAGCACCGGCUAACUACGUG